rnacentral:rRNA from 1 species
AUUGAACGCUGGCGGCAGGCCUAACACAUGCAAGUCGAACGAGAGGCGGACGGGUGAGCAAUGUCUGGGAACCUGCCCGAUGGAGGGGGAUAACUACUGGAAACGGUAGCUACUACCGCAUACUUUGGGAUGAGCCCAGAUGGGAUUAGCUUGUAGGGUGGGUAAGGGCUCACCUAGGCGACGAUCCCUAGCGGGUCUGAGAGGAUGACCAGCAACACUGCACCUGAGACACGGUCCGGACCCCUACGGGAGGCGGCAGUGGGGAAUAUUGCACAAGGGGCGCAAGCCUAGUGCAGACAUGCCGCGUGUAUGAAGAAGGCCUUCGGGUUUGAAAGUACUUUCAGCGAGGAGGCGUUACUCUACGAAGAAGCACCGGCUAACUCCGUGCCAGCAGCCGCGGUAAUUC